rnacentral:rRNA from 1 species
GACGAACGCCCGUUGCGUGCUUAACACAUGCAAGUCGAACGGAAAGGCCCUGCUUUUGUGGGGUGCUCGAGUGGCGAACGGGUGAGUAACACGUGAGUAACCUGCCCUUGACUUUGGGAUAACUUCAGGAAACUGGGGCUAAUACCGGAUAGGAGCUCCUGCUGCAUGGUGGGGGUUGGAAAGUUUCGGCGGUUGGGGAUGGACUCGCGGCUUAUCAGCUUGUUGGUGGGGUAGUGGCUUACCAAGGCUUUGACGGGUAGCCGGCCUGAGAGGGUGACCGGCCACAUUGGGACUGAGAUACGGCCCAGACUCCUACGGGAGGCAGCAGUGGGGAAUAUUGCACAAUGGGCGGAAGCCUGAUGCAGCAACGCCGCGUGCGGGAUGACGGCCUUCGGGUUGUAAACCGCUUUCGCCUGUGACGAAGCGUGAGUGAUGGUAAUGGGUAAAGAAGCACCGGCUAACUACGUGCCAGCAGCCGCGGUGAUACGUAGGGUGCGAGCGUUGUCCGGAUUUAUUGGGCGUAAAGGGCUCGUAGGUGGUUGAUCGCGUCGGAAGUGUAAUCUUGGGGCUUAACCCUGAGCGUGCUUUCGAUACGGGUUGACUUGAGGAAGGUAGGGGAGAAUGGAAUUCCUGGUGGAGCGGUGGAAUGCGCAGAUAUCAGGAGGAACACCAGUGGCGAAGGCGGUUCUCUGGGCCUUUCCUGACGCUGAGGAGCGAAAGCGUGGGGAGCGAACAGGCUUAGAUACCCUGGUAGUCCACGCUGUAAACGGUGGGUACUAGGUGUGGGGUCCAUUCCACGGGUUCCGUGCCGUAGCUAACGCUUUAAGUACCCCGCCUGGGGAGUACGGCCGCAAGGCUAAAACUCAAAGGAAUUGACGGGGCCCCGCACAAGCGGCGGAGCAUGCGGAUUAAUUCGAUGCAACGCGUAGAACCUUACCUGGGUUUGACAUGGAUCGGGAGUGCUCAGAGAUGGGUGUGCCUCUUUUGGGGUCGGUUCACAGGUGGUGCAUGGCUGUCGUCAGCUCGUGUCGUGAGAUGUUGGGUUAAGUCCCGCAACGAGCGCAACCCUUGUUCACUGUUGCCAGCACGUUAUGGUGGGGACUCAGUGGAGACCGCCGGGGUCAACUCGGAGGAAGGUGGGGAUGACGUCAAGUCAUCAUGCCCCUUAUGUCCAGGGCUUCACGCAUGCUACAAUGGCUGGUACAGAGAGUGGCGAGCCUGUGAGGGUGAGCGAAUCUCGGAAAGCCGGUCUCAGUUCGGAUUGGGGUCUGCAACUCGACCUCAUGAAGUCGGAGUCGCUAGUAAUCGCAGAUCAGCAACGCUGCGGUGAAUACGUUCCCGGGGCU